UGUGUGUCUUCCCCCCAUCUUUUUUAAAGGGCUUGCCUGUUGCUUUAGACAAACAUAUUCUUGGUUUUGACACAGGAGAUGCAGUUCUUAAUGAAGCCGCUCAGAUUCUGCGACUGCUGCAUAUAGAAGCACUUAGAGAGCUGCAGACAAAAAUCAACGAAGCUAUCGUAGCCGUUCAGGCGAUUAUCGCUGAUCCAAAGACAGACCACAGACUGGGCAAAGUAGGCAGAUGAACCGUGAGCUCAGCCUUCCGCUACUACAUAACUGGUGGCAUGUAUUUGGGAAUCUCAUGGGAGGAGGCCCGGGAAAUUGUUCUAGAUAUGCCACCACUGCUUUUUUUCUUUAAUAAAGUUUGUGAAAGUGGA